CAAUAACCGGGAAGGUGGACUCUCAGAAGAGAGCUUGCACAUGCACCCUGCAUGUCUGUCUGCAGGACAGGUAUUCACAGAUCUCCACUCCCCUGGUUUAACUCCAGCCUUGGGUGCGCAAACAAGCAUGUCUCACCACGCAUCUCUUCUUGUCCACCUUUUCAGAUGAGUAGCUCCUUUUCAGCUUGGUGACCAAACCGAAUGGAUGCUGCGGUGGGUCACUCCUGAGUCACUUCCUAGGACUCCCCAGUUUGCUCUACCUGUGUCCAGCAAGGAGACCGCAUCCUUGGUCACUUAUUAUCAGACGACUCCCAAGGCAAAGAGCAAGAGAAACCGUGCAAUUCCUAAUAAGCUCAUCAUUAGCCACACGACUCCUGGUCCACUAUUGCCAGUUAAUGACCAAACCUCACAGUGUAGACAACUGACAUUUUGCCUGAGCAGCCGUCUCUGGCCAGUGAUAAUUAACCUGAAGGAUAACUAUAAAUACUGCGUGUAA
rnacentral:lncRNA from 1 species